AGAGUUUGAUCCUGGCUCAGGAUGAACGCUGGCGGCGUGCUCAACACAUGCAAGUCGAACGAUAUAGUGGCGAACGGGUGAGUAACACGUAAGCAACCUACCCUUAAGACCGGCACAACUCGCCGAAAGGCGAGCUAAUUCCGGAUGUGGUUUAAGAAAGACAUCUUUCUUUAAUUAAACCCAGCAAUGGGCUUAGGGAUGGGCUUGCGGCUUAUCAGCUAGUUGGUGAGGUAACGGCUCACCAAGGCGAUGACGAGUAGCUGGUCUGAGAGGAUGAUCAGUCACAAGGGCACUGAGACAUGGGCCCUACUCCUACGGGAGGCAGCAGUGAGGAAUUUUCUGCAAUGGGCGCAAGCCUGACAGAGCGACGCCGUGUGUGGGAUGAAGUCUUUCGGGAUGUAAACCACUGUCAGAGGGGACGAUAUUGACGGUACCCUCAGAGGAAGCACCGGCUAACUACGUGCCAGCAGCCGCGGUAAUACGUAGGGUGCAAGCGUUAUCCGGAAUCAUUGGGCGUAAAGGGCGUGUAGGCGGUUUGUUAAGUCAGAUGUUAAAUUUCCGGGCUCAACCCGGAUCCGCAUUUGAUACUGGCAGACUAGAGAAUGGUAGAGGUAAGCGGAACUUCCGGUGUAGCGGUGAAAUGCGUAGAUAUCGGAAGGAACACCAGUGGCGAAGGCGGUUUACUGGGCCAUUUCUGACGUUGAGACGCGAAAGCCAGGGGAGCAAACGGGAUUAGAUACCCUGGUAGUCC
rnacentral:rRNA from 1 species